CAGUCGCCGCGGUAAAACGAAGGGGGCUAGCGUUACUCGGAAUUACUGGGCGUAAAGGGCGCGUAGGCGGCACGAUUAGUCAGGCGUGAAAUUCCUGGGCUCAACCUGGGGACUGCGCUUGAUACGGUCGAGCUAGAGGAUGGAAGAGGGUUGUGGAAUUCCCAGUGUAGAGGUGAAAUUCGUAGAUAUUGGGAAGAACACCGGUGGCGAAGGCGGCAACCUGGUCCAUUACUGACGCUGAGGCGCGACGGCGUGGGGAGCAAACAGGAUUAGAUACCCCCGUAGUCCCUGUCUCUUAUAC
rnacentral:rRNA from 1 species